rnacentral:rRNA from 1 species
AGGGUGUAAACGCUGCAGACUUGGUGUUGGAGGCCCUUUGGGGGCAUUCAGUGCCGGAGAGAAGUUGUUAAGUCUGCUACUUGGGGGGUACGUCCGCAAGGAUGAAACUUAAAGGAAUUGGCGGGGGAGGCACCGCAACGGGAGGAGCGUGCGGUUUAAUUGGAUUCAACACCGUAAACUCACCAGGGAAGACUGUUACAUGAAGGCCGAGAUGAAGACUCUGCUAGAUUUUCAGAGAGGAGGUGCAUGGCGUCAGUGACU